CCUACGGGAGGCAGCAGUGGGGAAUAUUGGACAAUGGGGGAAACCCUGAUCCAGCGACGCCGCGUGAGUGAAGAAGUAUUUCGGUACGUAAAGCUCUAUCAGCAGGAAAGAAAAUGACGGUACCUGACUCAGAAGCCCCGGCUAACUACGUGCCGGCAGCCGCGGUAAUACGUAGGGGGCAAGCGUUAUCCGGAUUUACUGGGUGGAAAGGGAGCGUAGACGGCAGCGCAAGUCUGGAGUGAAAUGCCGGGGCCCAACCCCGGAACUGCUCUUGAGACUGUGAAGCUGGAGUGCAGGAGAGGUAAGCGGAAUUCCUGGUGUAGCGGUGAAAUGCGUAGAUAUCAGGAGGAACACCGGCGGCGAAGGCGGCUUACUGGACUGUAACUGACGUUGAGGCUCGAAGGCGUGGGGAGCAAACAGGAUUAGAUACCCCAGUAGUC
rnacentral:rRNA from 1 species